rnacentral:lncRNA from 1 species
GUUUAUUUAAUCAUGUUAUUAUAAAAAGUUGCGGAAUCCUUUUUUCUAAUAAAACAUUUUUAGAAAGUGACAGUAGUGAAUUCGUGGAAAGGUAUUAUGAAAAUAGUCUUUAUAGAAAAAAUGAAUCUGAUACCAAUUUAAGUGUAUAUAGAAAUAAAAACAUUAAUAGGUAUAAUAGUAAUAGUAUAUCGUGGUUGAGUUUUGAAAAAAAAAAAAAAUGAGCAGUAUAUAUUUAGGAAGAGUAAAAAAAUAGUUUCACCAAAAAGGUGUAGAACACAUAACAUAGGUAAUUGUGGUCUGUUGAAUUAUGGACCGGACAAGUCUGAAUUAAAAAAAAAUAACAUAUGGUCGAUGACUAACUUUAAGCGUGAAACAAGUUUCCAAAAUAAUCAUAUUAAUAAUAACAAUAAUAAUAAUUUACUUUUUCAUUUUAGACAAAGCUCAGAUUAUUCAGUAGGUAGUAGUAGUAGUGGGAAUAGGAGUAGUAAUACAUUAUUCUAUAAAAUAAAUGAAAGUGAUAACAUGGAAAAACAAAAUGAUUUAAGAGGUGACUUGGAGAACAAACUCAAGAUCGAAAGCAGGCUUGGAAACAAAUUGGAAAUUGGAUUGGAAAUUGGAUCGGAAAUUGGAUUGGAAAACGUACUGGAAAACGAAUUAGGAGUGGAUAUAAAUAUUAACUACUCGAUUGAAGAAAUUUCUAAGUAUGUAAGAGAAGGUAAAAAAAUGCAUAAUAAUUUAAAUAUAUCUAAAGAAAAUGUAGUAGAAAAAGAAAUUAAAAAUUUAUCAAAAUUGGAUUUUUUAAAUAAUUACAAAAGUAGAACUAAUACAGGUAAUGUAUAUAAUGCUGUUAAAGACAGGGGUAAUGUAUAUAAAGCCAAUAGUACAAGCAGACAUAACAUAUAUACAGCUGAUAUAGACAUUGACAAUAUACAUAAAGAUAGUUUCGAUAUGGACAAUGUUGACUACACUAACACGUUUUUAUUUCUGCAAAACAAGCACAAAAAUAAGCAUAGUCCUUUUAAUUUUAUGUAUAAAAAUGGUAAGUACAAAGACAAAAAUAAUAAAACAAAUAAGAGCAGUAGUAAUAAAAUGUGGGGACAUGGAAAAAGGAAUGUACCAAACGAAUUACCCAUGAAUAUGGAUUAUAACUCAGUUUGUUCAAAUGGUAAAACCAUGAAUAAAAAAAAAAAAAAAAAAAAUAUUAUAAAAAGCCCUGAUGCUUCGCAUACUGGUUUAAUUAGUAGUGAUCAAAGCUUUUCAUUUUUUAA